CCGCCGCGGCGACCACCCUGCUUCCUGUCGCCAUGGCCGUCGGCCUCUAUUUUCCCGCUGUGAGCAACUUCCUCCGUAACCGAAGCUUCGAUCUUUUCCUAGAUCCGUUCUGGCAUGUAGAGGUUAUUUAGAGUUGCCACUAUGUUCCACCACAAGCACAUCAGCUAGCCCAGUGGCUAGCGCAGCCUCUAUCCAUUCGAGGGGUCUGGGUUCGAGUCCCAGCCGCCCCCAUUUUUGCUUAGUUUUCUUGUUAUUUUGCACUCCCACAUCUGCUUCGGGCCAGAUCUGCUGCUGGGCUUGCACAGUGCGUUGCAUUCGGCCCGUUGCUAUUUUUGGCGUGCUGCGAAUUUCAUAUUAUCCAAAAACCGCAUGUUUACAGAUUAGCCCCUCUAGAUCAUGCAUAUCAUAACUCAUAAACUGUGCAUCAUAUGUAUAAACAUUAUUUAUGAAAAAUGCUUAGAAUUUCAUCUAGUUUCACAUUAGGCCACUCUCAUCCAUGUGUAAAAUGUUUAACUUGCUGUUUGCAUUAAUUUGCAUAAAUGCCAUGCUAAAAUGAUUUAUUUCAUAACUAAAUAACCGUAGCUCGGAUUUAAAUAAUUUAUAUAUGUAAAUGGGGUAGAAAAAUGCAUAGAUUAACAUGGUAGCAUCACUUUGCAUGUUUAACAAGUCUAAAAUUAUGUAUAGGGCAGAACAGUACCAAAUUCAUAUUAUGCAUAUGAGGAGUUUUCCGGAAUUGUUGUUUGUUGUUUCCGGCCUCAUUUAAACUUGCCUAAAUAGGUGGUUUGCUCAUACUUCACCUCUUGCCAUGUUUAAUAACAUUUAAUGUUGUUGGGUACAUAACCGAGAGAGAACUAAAUAAUUGAUGUGGUGUUUCGUUAAUAUGCAACUCGUUGCAUAUUGAGCUCCAUUUAACUUGUAGUUUUGUUUGUGCAUAUUGCCAUGCCAUGCUAUUUAAACCGGGCAUGCAUCAUACUUGUUUGUGCAUCAUGCCAUGUUUAUGUGAUGGCUGUUUACUAUGUUGUUUGUUUCUUUCCGGGUUGCUUCUCUCGUUAGCUUCGGGUUCGUUCCAGAGUCGUGAGGAUUCGUUCGACUACGUCUGUUUGUCUUCUUCAUGAACUCGUUCUUCUUCCUAUCGGGGUCUCAGGCAAGAUGACUAUUACCCUCGAUAUCACUUCUAUCUUUGCUUGCUAGUUGCUCCGUUCUAUCGCUAUGCUGCACUACCUAUCACUUGUUUACCAUGCCUCCCGUAUUGCCAUAUCAGCCUCUAACCUUUUUCACCCCUCCUAGCAAACCGUUGCUUGGCUAUGUUACCGCUUUGCUCAGCCCCUCUUAUAGCAUUGUUAGUUGCAGGUGAAGUUGAAGAUUGCUCCAUGAUGGACAGGAUUAUUUUGGGAUAUCACAAUAUCUCUUAUUUAAUUAAUGCAUCUAUAUACUUGGUAAAGGGUGGAAGACUCGGCCUUAUGCCUGGUGUUUUGUUCCACUCUUGCCGCCCUAGUUUCUGUCAUACCGGUGUUAUGUUCCCGGAUUUUGCGUUCCUUACGCGGUUGGGUGAUUUAUGGGACCCCCUUGACAGUUCGCUUUGAAUAAAACUCCUCCAGCAAGGCCCAACCUUGGUUUUACCAUUUGCCACCUAAGCCUUUUUCCCUUGGGCUCUGCAGACUCAAGGGUCAUCUUUAUUUUAACCCCCCCCCCCCGGGCUAGUGCUCCUUCGAGUGUUGGUCCAAAAUGAGCAGCCUGCGGGGCCACCUCGGGGCAACUUGAGGGCUGGUUUUACUCGUAGCUUGACUUAUCCGGUGUGCCCUGAGAACGAGGUACGUGCGACUCCUAUCGGGAUUUGUCGGUGCAUCGGGCGGCUUUGCUAGUCUUGUUUUACCAUUGUCGAAAUGUCUUGCGAACCGGGAUUCCGAGGCUGAUCGGGUCUUCCCGGGAGAAGGUAUAUCCUUCGUUGACCGUGAGAGCUUGUGAUGGGCUAAGUUAGGACACCCCUGCAGGGUAUAUUAUCUUUCGAAAGCCGUGCCCGCGGUUAUGGGCAGAUGGGAAUUUGUUAAUGUCCGGUUGUAGAUAACUUGACACUUGACCUCAUUAAAACGCAUCAACCGCGUGUGUAGCCGUGAUGGUCUCUUCUCGCGGAGUCCGGGAAGUGAACACGGUUUUGGGUUAUGUUUGACGUAAGUAGGAGUUCAGGAUCACUUCUUGAUCAUUGCUAGCUUCACGACCGUUCCAUUUGCUCUCUUCUCGCUCUUAUUUGUGUAUGUCAGCCAUCAUAUAUGCUUAGUCGCUGCUGCAACCUCACCACUUUACCCCCUUCCUUUCCCACAAGCUUAAAUAGUCUUGAUCUCGUGGGUUUUGAGAUUGCUGAGUCCUCGUGACUCACCAGAUACUAUCACAACAGUUGCAGGUGCCGAUGAUACCAGUGUAGGUGAUGCAACCGAGCUCAGAUGGGAGCUCAACGAAGACCUUGGUCGUUGCUAUGUAUCGUUUAAUGUUGAUAAGUAGUGGAGCCCAGUUGGGACAAUCGGGGAUCUAGCAGUUGGGUUAUCUUCUUUUCUUUUGGCUUCGUCCAUAUUCGGACUAUGUGUGUACUCUGAAUGAUGUAUGAUUUAUUUAUGUUCAUUGUAUGAAGUGGCGAUUGUAAGCCAACUCUUUAUCCCAUUCUUGUUCAUUACAUGGGAUUGUGUGAAGAUGACCCUUCUUGCGACAAAACCACAAUGUGGUUAUGCCUCUAAGUCGUGCUUCGACACGUGGGAGAUAUAGCCGCAUCGUGGGUGUUACAAGUUGGUAAUCAGAGCCAUCCCCGACUUAGGAGCCCCCUGCUUGAUUGUUUGCUGGUGUUUUGAGUCUAGAACAAAAAUGUUUUGAGUCUUAGGAUUAUAUAUACCGGAGAGUAGGAUUCUUUUUACUCCUCAGUCCCUUCGUCGCUCUGGUGAGGUUUCCUGAUGUAGAUGUUUUGACUUUCCUCUCCUCAAAUUUCACUAAAAAAAUUAGGAUCACGCAGGUAUCUUGGAAUCGUUCCGAUGGUUUUGUGACGAGAACAUUGUUCUUGGUGCCUCCUGACAUUUAGGGGUUGUGGCAGUGUCCCGGGGAGUUGAGCUCUGAGGUGUUGUCGUCACAAUUUUAUCGUUGCAGUUCUGGAAUACCUGAGUUUUGCCGACAUCAAAAAUCUCUUUUAUGCUGUUGUUGGUGAGAUAACCUCGAUAACCGAGUACUGGGGCGAGCUCGAGAGUAUUGCCAUAACUCGUAUAACGGAUGCUUUUCAAAGGUUGAGGUACACGAUUUCUGAAGGUUUCUUGGUUAUGUGUUGACAGAUGGAUACAGCUUGGAUGUAGGGAUUGUUAGUUUUGGGUGAGAUAUAUAUUGCUUCCCCUGUAUCCCCAACACCAGAUUGCAUAACCAGAAAGUUUCGGGAGUUUUAUAGGCGGGAAUUCAAGUAGCUCCUAGAAUAUCUUUUCGACAGAUGCAUGAUAUGAGAUUGGGGUUCGACGUCUAGUGGUCCACCUUUCCACGGUCGUUUUUACAGUGGUCUCGUUGUGUCUUAAAGAACCCUUGGCUAUGCUGGUUCGGGGACACUUCGUAUGUCAUGUGCACUGCCUUGUACAUGAUGGUGCUGUACACUUGAGCCCGUGUGGGCCCCACCACGAAAACUUGGAACGAAAUCUCUAUCAUAUGUUUGUUCCGGCUUAUUCUGCAAGCCAAAUCCUUUGUGUUGUUUUAUAUGUGGUAUUCGAGUUGCUUCAAAGUCAAAUAUUGAAUCCAUACCUUUCCUAAACGGUGUUCUCAUAUUGCUAUGUGAAUACUAAUCCUUCUUGAUCAUCGAGCUCGUCAUGUCAAUUCUUUCCGACCGGUGUGCUUCUCUUCAAGUGGAUCCGAACAUUUCAACAUUCGCAAGAUCAAUUCUAAGUUUUCUCAACGGUAUCCAUUCCAUCUGCCCCAAGUUGCCUUUGUUUUCCCGCCCUCCCACCCUUAACUUCAAGGACUCAGAUUUCUUAAUCGGGUACCCAUUUUAUUGAUGGGAAGUCUCUCCAUUCUUUUCCAUCAAUGUUCUUAUCCGGUGAUUCUCAAGAAGAUACUAAUGGAGUUUCAAGUUCAUCAUUUUUCAUUCUUUUCUUCUUCGGUGGAUUUACCUCAAUCUUUCGGUGUUGAUCAUAUCCUUAUCCUCGUUCAAAUGCUAUCCCAUGCCGGUGCCUCUCAUAAUUGUUCACCUCUCUCUAUUCUUAUUCGGAGUGCUCAAGAUAUCUCGGAAGAUUCGUGUUUCCAUUCUCAAUCAGUUCAAGUUAUUUUGAGGUUGUUAUCUCAUUCAAGCCACUUAAUUCAACCGGUGCAAUCUCUAUUUCAAGCAAUCGUUCAACGGUGUUUAUCUUGAGUGGGCCCUAACCCACAGGUCUUUUCCCAGGAUUUUACCUGACUCUUCUAAUUUAUCCGGAGCGAUUCUCAAAUUCUUUCAAAGUUUGACAUAAGAAUGAUUUCUCAACAGUCAAAUGUAUUCUCCAAGUUUGCUUUGAUAUUAUUUUCAUUGCUGGUUCAACCUUUCUGCUCUUCAUUCCGGAGUAUCUCAACAAUUCAUGGUGGUUCUCAUCUUCAUUCUCAACAUUUGAACACCGAAGAAGGAUUUCUCUUAAAUCUUAUCCAUUCUCUUGAAGAUUCAUGGUUCUAGCUUUCUACCAUCAUCUCAUAAUUGUUUUCGAUUGUGAGAAUUCUUUCCAACCAUCCGGAGCAUUUCAUGAGUUGUUUCCAUUUCUUUCCUCCGAAGGCCAUCGUGUCAUAAUUCUUCAUUCUCAGCAUGUAGCUAUCGUUCUCCAAAUCUUACCGGUGCAUCGUUCAAAUAUCCUCUAAUCAGUUCACGGCCUCUUCGUUCUCAUGUAUCCAAAUCCCCUCAAGUAUCUUCAUUCGUUUUCCCAACUCUUCUUGGUGAAUUGUGCCUUCGCUACUUUCAUUUUCAAUUCUUACGGUGGUUCGUUCAAGAUUUCUCUUCCUUCGUUAUAAUAUCAAUUCAUUCGUUGUUUCCAAAUCCUACCGGUGGUUCCAUCAAUAGCUUCUCAAACUUGCGCUAUAUCUCUCUUAAUUCUUUCUACGAGAAUAAGUAGUAUGCCAAAUCCAUUGCUGGUCAUCAAUUUAAUUUGAUGAAUGAUAAGCAUACAAUAAAUCUUAUUCUUAUUUCCUCUAGGUGAUUCAAUUCUUUUCUUCCGAAGAUUGUUCAUGAUGAAGUAAUUCUCGGUUCUAGUGUUCAUCUUUUCUUUCCGGAGUUCCAAGUUCUCUCGGUUAUCUCAUCGCGAAGCUCCUUCGAAAUCAUCGCAAGGCUUCACCUUGUUCUUUCAACUUCUCUUCCUUUCUAUCAUCCUUUUCUUACCGGAGUUCUUCAUGGAGGCCUACAUGGUGGUUCGUCAAGGAUUCUUUUCAUUCUUCAAUUGUUCUUCAAGUUUUCUCUCGAAGCUAUGACCCGCCAAGCUAUACUCAAAGUUAAACAUGGUGCUCAACACAUGUUUUGUUUUGAGGCAUUCAAGCAUUCUUCAUCUUGCAUUCCAAAGUGCAAUUAUCCUACCUUAUCUUUUGAGAUGGUGUUAUAUCAUUCUUGACAAUUUCCAUUCUUGUUUCGCGAUUCACAUGUUGUCAAGAACGAGGUAUUUUAAAUCCAUUAUUCUCUUCGUUGGAGUUAUCUUGUGUCAUAUUUCUCCUAAAGCCUUCCCUAAGGAAUGUUGCUAUUUGUGGUGCUUAUCAAUGAUCCGAGUUUUCACCUAUCCUCUCGGCGAAAGCAGUUUUCAUCUCUUUUUUGAUCUCAAGCAAGCAAUUGUUUUUCGUUAGUGGCACGAUUUCACCUCAAGUGUUGAAAUGUUUCAAUAAGUCCACUACAAGCUUGUGAUUUUCGUUGUUGAUUUUCCAACAACUCUGUUCAAUUCUUCUUUGCAAGGAUGCUUUCCAUGUUCUUUUGUGGCAGAAGUUGACAUUUCCUUCUCCAUUUUGUUAUUCCAAUGAUCUAUCUUCUAUUCUUUCUUCCAGAGGCAUUGUGAUGUUGCUCUCUUCACUCAUCAUCUCGAAUUGUGAGGACCGUGUUCUUUUUCUUGCAUUAUCCAUUUAACCGGAGUGUCGUGUUUUCAUUCAAGCUCUCUCAUCUUAUCAAGUUUUGCCUCCCUUCUCAACCGGAGUGUUGUCUGAAAUCUUUCUUACCCCCUGUGCCAUUUUUCAAUAGUUCCGGAGGCAGUGUGUUGUUGAUUUCAUCAAGUAUCAUCCCAUCUUCUCAAGUUCAUAAUCAAUUCCUUCCAUUUACAGUCGGAGUGCUGCCAAAAUUAUAUCAUUCUUAUUCAUUCUUAUCUCGUUUCAACCAGAGUGGUUCCAAUUCCUUCUUGUCCAUUGUACUCGUCAUUCAUAGCUUUGCAACCCCCAAGGUUCACAUGGUGUUCCUUGUUUCUAUUUUCUACUGGAAUGCUCUCAAUUUCGUUCAACUCUAUUGUGUUAUUCUUUCAAGUUUUCAACCUCUCGAGGUUCAUUGGUUUCACUCGUUUGUCAAAGAAGCAACUUAGUUUUACCUCCUCUCUUCCUCUUCCGUUUUCUCUCCGGUGCCAUCCCAGAUCUCGGGACGAGAUCCUCUCGUAGUGGUGGAGUGUUGUGACGCCCCAAGACCGACGCUUCAGACGCCUUCCAUGUUUUGCGAGUUUCGUUGUGCUAUUUAUUUGUUUGUUGCAUUCAUCAUCGCAUAAUACGCAUUGCAUCCGCAUGUUUUCUUAAACUCGUGGUCCGUUCGUAGUUGUCGCGUCCCCUCCCACUUGCCUUCGUUGACUGAUCCAAGUCCAACCUUGUUCUUCGUUUUCCCUCUUGCCUAAACCGGAGUCUCUUUGCAUAGUGCAUCGCCCCUUGCCCGUGUCUGAAACUUCCCCGAACCCGAACCGGACUAUUAUUACCGUUGGGUCCGGAUCAUCCCCAAACAUCUAUAAAACAUCUCCGUUUUAUUAUUCGGGCUACCUACCCUAUUUAUUUAUGACCGUCCGAUUACGAUCGCAGGGACCUAGAUUACCCCUACCCUAAUCCCCUACCUAUAUAAACAGUGUAACCCUAGACCUAGCCGUCCCAUCCAUCAAAUCCUCCCUGCCGCCGCCGGCCACUGCCUCCUCCAUCCUCGGGAUCUUGCCCGAUCCAUUCGAGCCACCCGACCAACCUCCUUCUUCAUCGGGAUCCCUCCUGAUCCAGCCGCCAACCACCUUCUCCUAGUUUUCCCCACCGAUCCAAUAGCACCUCCCCUCCCCGCCGUCUCUGCCUAACCUCGACCUCGCCGACCAGAGCACCAGGUCAUGCUGCACUUCCCCGUCGCCUCCAUCGCCUUCCUUUCCCUCUCCCUGUUCCCUCUCUCAGCUCUCUCCUUCUCUUAUUCACAGGAACAGGGGACGCCAUGGAUGACACGCGCCCGAGUUCCUUGAGCCCCGCCCGGAGCAGCCAAGCCAACGGAGUUCCAUUCCCUCCACGUCCACUCCAUCCCCUGCCUCGCAUGCCUCCUCUCCGCACCCCCCCUCGCCAAGGUCUGCCGUCCUUAGCGUGGAGACUGACGCCGCUGCAACCACCAUGGUGCUCGGCCUCGUGCAGCUUCUCCAGGCCACUUCCCCGUGCCCAGAUGCUCCACCGCCGCCUUGCUCCGUCCUCUCCGUCCCCGCCACAGAUGAGCAGCGCGCAGCCCCUUUUCCUUCUCCUGUCGUCCUUGUUCUCUCAACUCCCUCUCUCUGCUUUUCUACAGGAAGGUCGCUCCUGCAGCCAUGGACGCCACAAGCAGAGGCUUGCCUUGCCGCCCUUGCAAUGAUGGCCUCACCUUCGCUCCUCCGACGACCGGCCUCGUCGUCGCCGGCAACCCCAGGUCGCCCCGUCGCGCCCUUGCCAUCUCUCUACGUCUCUUUCUCUCCUUCCUUCCCCUGUUUCCCUCUGAACUCUGUCUUUUCUUCAGUUAACAGCAGCCUCCUUCAAGUUCGCCACCUCGAGCCCCUGCCUCGACUCCUCGUGCAUGGAUCCGUUCGCCCUCGCUCCGUUCCCGCGGGAUCCGGCCGGAAGGAGCCCCGCCGCGGCGACCCCCCUGCUUCCUGUCGCCAUGGCCGCCGGCCUCUAUUUUCCCGCUGUGAGCAACUUCCUCCGUAACCGAAGCUUCGAUCUUUUCCUAGAUCCGUUCUGGCAUGUAGAGGUUAUUUAGAGUUGCCACUAUGUUCCACCACAAGCACAUCAGCUAGCCCAGUGGCUAGUGCAGCCUCUAUCCAUUCGAGGGGUCUGGGUUCGAGUCCCAGCCGCCCCCAUUUUUGCUUAGUUUUCCUGUUAUUUUGCACUCCCACAUCUGCUUCGGGCCAGAUCUGCUGCUGGGCUUGCACAGUGCGUUGCAUUCGGCCCGUUGCUAUUUUUGGCGUGCUGCGAAUUUCAUAUUAUCCAGAAACUGCAUGUUUACAGAUUAGCCCCUCUAGAUCAUGCAUAUCAUAACUCAUAAACCGUGCAUCAUACGUAUAAACAUUAUUUAUGAAAAAUGCUUAGAAUUUCAUCUAGUUUCACAUUAGGCCACUCUCAUCCAUGUGUAAAAUAUUUAACUUGCUGUUUGCAUUAAUUUGCAUAAAUGCCAUGUUACAAUGAUUUAUUUCAUAACUAAAUAACCGUAGCUCGGAUUUAAAUAAAUUAUAUAUGUAAAUGGGGUAGAAAAAUGCAUACAUUAACAUGGUAGCAUCACUUUGAAUGUUUAACAACUCUAAAAUUAUGUAUGGGGUAGAACAAUACCAAAUUCAUAUUAUGCAUAUGAGGAGUUUUCCGGAAUUUUUGUUUGUUGUUUCCGGCCUCAUUUAAACUUGCCUAAAUAGGUGGUUUGCUCAUACUUCACCUCUUGCCAUGUUUAAUAACAUUUAAUGUUGUUGGGUACAUAACCGAGAGAGAACUAAAUAAUUGAUGUGGUGUUUCGUUAAUAUGCAACUCGUUGCGUAUUGAGCUCCAUUUAACUUGUAGUUUUGUUUGUGCAUAUUGCCAUGCCAUGCUAUUUAAACCGGGCAUGCAUCAUACUUGUUUGUGCAUCAUGCCAUGUUUAUGUGAUGGUUGUUUACUAUGUUGUUUGUUUCUUUCCGGGUUGCUUCUCUCGUUAGCUUCGGGUUCGUUCCGGAGUUGUGAGGAUUCGUUCGACUACGUCCGUUUGUCUUCUUCAUGAACUCGUUCUUCUUCCUAUCGGGAUCUCAGGCAAGAUAACUAUUACCCUCGAUAUCACUUCUAUCUUUGUUUGCUAGUUGCUCUAUUCUAUCGCUAUGCUGUGCUACCUAUCACUUGUUUACCAUGCCUCCCAUAUUGCCAUGUCAGCCUCUAACCUUUUUCACCCCUCCUAGCAAACCGUUGCUUGGCUAUGUUACCACUUUGCUCGGCCCCUCUUAUAGCAUUGUUAGUUGCAGGUGAAGUUGAAGAUUGCUCCAUGAUGGACAGGAUUAUUUUGGGAUAUCACAAUAUCUCUUAUUUAAUUAAUGCAUCUAUAUACUUGGUAAAGGGUGGAAGACUCGGCCUUAUGCCUGGUGUUUUGUUCCACUCUUGCCACCCUAAUUUCCGUCAUACCGGUGUUAUGUUCCCGGAUUUUGCGUUCCUUACGCGGUUGGGUGAUUUAUGGGACCCCCUUGACAGUUCGCUUUGAAUAAAACUCCUCUAGCAAGGCCCAACCUUGGUUUUACCAUUUUCCACCUAAGCCUUUUUCCCUUGGGUUCUGCAGACUCAAGGGUCAUCUUUAUUUUAACCCCCCCCCCCCCGGGGCCAGUGCUCCGUCGAGUGUUGGUCCGAAAUGAGCAGCUUGCGGGGCCACCUCGGGGCAACUUGAGGGCUGGUUUUACUCGUAGCUUGACUUAUCCGGUGUGCCCUGAGAACGAGGUAUGUGCGACUCCUAUCGGGAUUUGUCGGCGCAUCGGGCGGCUUUGCUGGUCUUGUUUUACCAUUGUCGAAAUGUCUUGCGAACCGGGAUUCCAAGGCUGAUCGGGUCUUCCCGGGAGAAGGUAUAUCCUUCGUUGACCAUGAGAGCUUGUGAUGGGCUAAGUUGGGACACCCCUGCAGGGUAUAUUAUCUUUCUAAAGCCGUGCCCGCGGUUAUGGGUAGAUGGGAAUUUGUUAAUGUCCGGUUGUAGAUAACUUGACACUUGACCUCAUUAAAACGCAUCAACCGCGUGUGUAGCCGUGAUGGUCUCUUCUCGCGGUGUCCGGGAAGUGAACACGGUUUUGGGUUAUGUUUGACGUAAGUAGGAGUUCCGGAUCACUUCUUGAUCAUUGCUAGCUUCAUGACCGUUCCAUUUGCUCUCUUCUCGCUCUUAUUUGCGUAUGUCAGCCAUCAUAUAUGCUUAGUCGCUGCUGCAACCUCACCACUUUACCCCUUCCUUUCCCAUAAGCUUAAAUAGUCUUGAUCUCGCGGGUUUUGAGAUUGCUGAGUCCUCGUGACUCAUCAGAUACUAUCACAACAGUUGCAGGUGCCGAUGAUACCAGUGCAGGUGAUGCAACCGAGCUCAGAUGGGAGCUCAACGAAGACCUUGGUCGUUGCUAUGUAUCGUUUAAUGUUGAUCAGUAGUGGAGCCCAGUUGGGACGAUCGGGGAUCUAGCAGUUGGGUUAUCUUCUUUUCUUUUGGCUUCAUCCGUAGUCGGACUAUGUGUGUACUCUGAAUGAUGUAUGAUUUAUUUAUGUUCAUUGUGUGAAGUGGUGAUUGUAAGCCAACUCUUUAUCCCAUUCUUGUUCAUUACAUGGGAUUGUGUGAAGAUGACCCUUCUUGCGACAAAACCACAAUGCGGUUAUGCCUCUAAGUCAUUCUUCGACACGUGGGAGAUAUAGCCGCAUCGUGGGUGUUACAAGCCUCCUCCUCGAGACCUCGACUCUCCUCGUGCGAGCACAGCGCCGGCUUGCGCUUGGGCCAAGGACCCCGACGGCCACCCCGUCAGCCCCGCCGCCGGCGACCGCAAGCCACCGGAGCACCAGGAGCCCUCCAGCCUCUUGCUCCAGCACGCCUCCUACCCCGAGCUCCUCCCAUGGUGCCCUCGUUCACGAGCACGUCGACCCCGCCGCCUCGAACUCCUGUGCUGAAGCACCACCUCGCGCGCCUCCUUCCUCGAGCAGGAGCUCGACCUGCUGCCGGCGACCUCGCCCUGUGAUGACCUAGACUACCAGCCCGCCCCUCUGCUCCCCUCCGCCCUUCCCUUUUUCCUCUCCUUCUCCCUCGUCUCACUAUCUCCCUCUCUCACCUUCAUAGGAGGCAGACGCCAUGGAUGCCCAUGCUCUGCCCUGAGUCAACCCUCGCCGUCAUUUUGCGCCAGAUCCGGCCCGGAGCCGCCGAAUCUCGCCGUCUCCUCCCUCCGUCCUUCACCUCUGCGCCAGAGAUCCCCGUCCCCGCAACUCCGGUCGUCCCCUGCCGCGGCCUCUGCCUUGUCUGCAUCGAGCGAGCGAGGGGAGCGCUCGCGUUGACCGUGCCUCUAGGCCUAGUGCGCCCUUUGGCGGCCUGCCUUGGCCUCCUCACCGACUGGCCCAGCCCAUGGUGAGCAACCGGCAGCUCCCCCCAGCCAAGUUUGCCUCAGAUCUAGCCCGUGAUGUUUUUUUCCCUGCGAGGACAAUUUUUUUAAUUUCCAGAAAACUGUUGUUUUUCAGAAAAACCCUCAACGUCAUGCAUAUAAUAACUUCAUAACCGUGCAUCGGAUUAAAAAUUUUUAUACAUGUAAAAUGCUUAGAAUUUUGUGUAGAUUAAUAAUAUACCACUUUUAUCCAUGUUUAAAAUGUUUAAAUUGUUGUUUGAUUAAUUUUUCUUAAAUGCCAUGUUAAAAUGCUUUAUUUCAUAACUAAUUAACCGUAGCUCGGUUUUAAAUAAACUUUAUAUGUAAAUGGGGUGGAAAAAUGCCUAGAUUAACAUGGUGCACUUUGUUUUACUCUUUAACAACUCUAAAAUCAUGUAAUAGGCAGAACAGUACCAAAUUUGAAAUAUGGACAUGAGGAUUUUCCGGAAUUGUUGUUUGUUGUUUCCGACCUCAUUUAAAGUUGCCUAGAUAGGUAGUUUUGUUAUACUUCACCUCUUGCCAUGUUAAUCAACAUUUAAUAUUGUUGGGUACAUAAACAAGAGUGAACUAAAUUAAUGAAUGUAGUCUUUCAUCAAUAUGCAACUCGUUGCAUAUUGAGCUCCACUUAAUUUGUAGUAUUGUUUGUUGCACUUUGCCAUGCCAUGCCUUAUUAAACCGGUCAUGCAUCAUACUUGAUUGUGCAUCAUGCCAUGUUUAUGUGAUGGUUGUUUACCAUGUUGUUUGCUUCUUUCCGGUUUGCUUCUCUCGUUAGCUUCGGUUUCGUUCCGGAGUUGUGAGGAUCCGUUCGACUACUUCCGCUUGUCUUCUUCGUGGACUCGUUCUUCUUCCUAGCGGGAUUUCAGGCAAGAUGACCGCUACCUUGGAUCUCACUACUAUCAUUGCUAUGCUAGUUGCUUCGUUCUAUUGCUAUGCUAUGCUACCUAUCACUUGUUGAUCAAGCCUCCCAUAUUGUCAUGUCAGCCUCUAACCUUUUUCACCCUUCUUAGCAAACCGUUGUUUGGCUAUGUUACCGUUUUGCUCAGCCCCUCUUAUAGCGUUGUUAGUUGCAGGUGAAGUUGAAGAUUGCCCCAUGAUGGACAAGAUUAUGUUGGGAUAUCACAAUAUCUCUUAUAUUAUUAAUGCAUCUAUAUAUUUGGUAAAGGGUGGAAGACUCGGCCUUAUGCCUGGUGUUUUGUUCCACUCUUUCCGCCCUAGUUUCCGUCAUACCGGUGUUAUGUUCCCGGAUUUUGCGUUCCUUACGCGGUUGGGUGAUUUAUGGGACCCCCUUGACAGUUCGCUUUGAAUAAAACUCUUCUAGCACGGCCCAACCUUGGUUUUACCAUUUGCCUCACCUAGCCCUUUUUCCCUUGGGUUUCCGGAGCCCGAGGGUCAUCUUUAUUUUAACCCCCCUGGGCCAGUGCUCCUUCGAGUGUUGGUCCAAACUAGAGCCACUUGCAUCGCCACCUCGGGGCAACUUGAGGGCUGGUUUUAGUUGUACGUAGUGUUCAUCCGGUGUGCCCUGAGAACGAGAUAUGUGCAGCUCCUAUCGGGAUUUGUCGGCACAUCGGGCGGCUUUGCUGGUCUUGUUUUACCAUUGUCGAAAUGUCUUGUAAACCGGGAUUCCGAGUCUGAUCGGGUCUUCCUGGGAGAAGGUAUAUCCUUCGUUGAUCGCGAGAGCUGAUCAUGGGCUAAGUUGGGACACCCCUACAGGGUUUAAACUUUCGAAAGCCGUGCCCGCGGUUAUCGGAAGAUGGGAAUUUGUUAAUGUCCGGUUGUAGAUAACUUGACACCAGAUCUGAAUUAAAACGCAUCAACCACGUGUGUAGCCGUGAUGGUCUCUUUUUGGCGGAGUCCGGAAAGUGAACACGGUUUUGGGUUAUGUUUGACGUAAGUAGGAGUUCAGGAUCACUUCUUGAUCAUUGCUAGCUUCACGACUGUCCCGCUUGCUCUCUUCUCGCUCUUAUUUGCCUAUGUUAGCCACCAUAUAUGCUUAGUCGCUGCUGCAACCUCACCACUUUACCCCUUCCUUUCCCAUUAAGCUUUGCUAGUCUUGAUACCCAUGGUAAUGGGAUUGCUGAGUCCUCGUGGCUCACAGAUUACUACAAAUAUAGUUGCAGGUACAGGUUAUGCGAUGAUCAUGACGCGAGAGCGAUGUUUACUUGUUUUGGAGUUCUUCUUCGGCUUCUUCUUUGAUCAGGGGAUAGGUUCCAGGUCGGCAGCCUAGGCUAGCAGGGUGGAUGUCGUUUGAGUUUCUGUUCGUGUCUCAUCCGUAGUCGGAUGGUGCUCUUAUGUAAGAUGAUGUUGUAUUUGUGUGGCAUUGUAUGCCUCUUGUAGGUAUCCCCAUCUAUUAUGUAAUGUUGAUGUAAUGAUAUCCACCUUGCAAAAGCGUUUCAAUAUGCGGGUCAAUCCUUGGUGGGACCUUUGAGUUCCUUUUGGAUAGGGUCGCAUAUUGGGCGUGACAUCAAGCAAUCUCAACACAAUUCAAGCAAGCAUGCAAAGAGUAUAUGAGCAGCGGAAAGUAAAGC
rnacentral:lncRNA from 1 species